rnacentral:rRNA from 1 species
UACAGAGGGUGCGAGCGUUAAUCGGAAUUACUGGGCGUAAAGCGUGCGCAGGCGGUAAGUUAAGUCUGAUGUGAAAGCCCCGGGCUCAACCUGGGAAUGGCAUUGGAAACUGGCUUGCUAGAGUGUGGCAGAGGGGGGUGGAAUUCCGCGUGUAGCAGUGAAAUGCGCAGAUAUCAGGAGGAACACCAGUGGCGAAGGCGGCACUCUGGGCCGGUACUGACGCUGAGGAGCGAAAGCGUGGGGAGCGAACAGG